CUAGAUGGUGGGGUAACGCCCCACCAUGGCAAUGAUACGUAGCCGACCUGAGAGGUUGAUCGCCCACAUUGGGACUGAGACACGGCCCAACUCCUACGGGAGGCAGCAGUAGGGAAUCUUCCACAAUGGACGAAAGUCUGAUGGAGCAACGCCGCGUGAGUGAAGAAGGUUUUCGGCUACGUAAANCUCUGUUGUUAGAGAAGAACAUGUCUGAGAGUAACUGUUCAGGUAUUGACGGUAUUUAACCAGAAAGCCACGGCUAACUACGUGCCAGCAGCCGCGGUAAUACGUAGGUGGCAAGCGUUGUCCGGAUUUAUUGGGCGUAAAGCGAGCGCAGGCGGUUUUUUAAGUCUGAUGUGAGAGCCUUCGGCUCA
rnacentral:rRNA from 2 species